rnacentral:lncRNA from 1 species
CUUUCGGAGCUGUGCGGCAUUCUGAGCAGGAAUGGCAGUGUGGACCUCUGUGAUGGGACAUCUUGUGGGAUCUCACAGCCAGUUCUGUGGCAAAGGAGGAUGAAGGCUUACGAGGACUCGUCAGGAAGCUGGAUAACAGAGCGAGCGCAAUGUGCUAGAAUAGAAGACCAGAAAAUGAAAUGGUGGAGUUUGAGGCUGGAUAGACAGUUUGAAAGGUGCCUGGAUGGAGGCUCAAAUAGAAGAUGGUGUCAGAUAUAUUGUGUUAAAAUUUUACCAUUAAAGUGUAUUAUAACAUGAA